GACCUGCUCUGUAUGGUGACCAAAUUAUGAAAUUCAUGUGUACAUUCUUCUUGAUAUACUUUUUGGGUUUCCCGUGUAUGAAUUGGGGUAACUAGAUUAUUGUGAAGUUCAUGAUCAAGUUAUUAUAACCUGUAGAUUGUUGUUAUUUUAAUUUUUCCUAAUGAGAUAUUGGUUCUUCUCUAGUGGUUCUAGCAAAAUUUCG
rnacentral:misc_RNA from 1 species